CUUUCAGGCACCAGGUUAAUGUCACAGAAGCAAACUGGUCAGCAUCCAGGGCAAGGAGCCAGAUGUAGUAACUGAACUCCAUUCUCUGAAAGACAAUAGCUCAGAGAGAAAAUGGAGAAGUUUCAAGAGGCCAGGAGAAUGUGAUUUAUGGUGGAGUUACAAUGUGGCAGUUGAGAACUAGACAAGACUGUGGGACUUCAUUUUUUCACCAUUUGCAGCAGCUGAUGGCAAUAAAAAUUGCAGAAUGCAUCAUCUGCAAGUGUUUUAUAGAGCUGAGAUGCUCAAGAGUUAGCCACCAGCCACAAGUGACUAUUGAAUACUUGGGAUGGGGCUAGUGUAACAAAGGUGAAGUUGACUAUAAACUCAUUGAACCGUGCCAUUUCAGUACAGAGACGGGAACCAGUGUAAAGGACUGAUUACACAGAUGGAGAAUAUCAAGGUAGAAAAGCA
rnacentral:lncRNA from 1 species